rnacentral:sRNA from 1 species
UGUUCUCCCAAGCACCAGGGGGACCCCUGGUCUUAGAUUCAAGUUGCAUCACUAGACUAACCAGCUCUGGGAACCAGAGGGACACUGGAGGAACUAGUUUGGGAAAUGAAAAAUAUCUGCAAUGAGAAGUAAUUUUAUUCUCCUCUUCCUUUUACCCCAGUCUCACUCUCCAUAGUAGGACCUGGAUCUUUGCAUCAGAGAAAACAUAAUGAACAAUAACUGGAAUGUGUGUUUCUUUCUUUUCUGCCCUAGUAUUACUAGAACAUUUGCAUCGGGAAAAACAGAAAAGGUGAUCUUUCAAGCACUCAAGGAGUUAGGUCUUCCCAGUGGAAAGAAUGAUGAAAUUGAGCCCGUGGCAUUUUCUUAUGAAAAGUUCUAUGAACUGACACAAAAGAUUUGUCCUCGGACAGAUAUAGAAGAUCUUUUCAAAAAAAUCAUCAACGAGAUCCUCGAUUGAAUGAAAUUUUAUUUCCAUUUUAUGAUGCCAAAAGGGCAAUGCAGAUCAUUGAGAUGUAUGAACCUGACGAAGAUUUGAAGAAAAAAGGCCUUAUAUCAAGUGAUGGGUUUUGCAGAUAUCUGAUGUCAGAUGAAAACGCCCCAGUCUUCCUAGAUCGUUUAGAACUUUACCAAGAAAUGGACCAUCCUCUGGCUCACUACUUCAUCAGUUCUUCCCAUAACACUUAUCUCACUGGCAGACAGUUCGGCGGGAAGUCUUCGGUAGAAAUGUACAGACAAGUUCUCCUGGCUGGUUGCAGAUGUGUUGAACUUGACUGCUGGGAUGGAAAAGGUGAAGACCAAGAACCAAUAAUAACUCAUGGAAAAGCAAUGUGUACAGAUAUCCUUUUUAAGGAUGUAAUUCAAGCCAUCAAGGAAACUGCAUUUGUCACAUCAGAAUAUCCUGUAAUUCUCUCCUUUGAAAAUCACUGCAGCAAAUAUCAACAGUACAAGAUGUCCAAAUAUUGCGAAGAUCUAUUUGGGGAUCUCCUGUUGAAACAAGCACUUGAAUCACAUCCACUUGAACCAGGCAGGGCUUUGCCAUCCCCCAAUGACCUCAAAAGAAAAAUACUCAUAAAAAACAAGCGGCUGAAACCUGAAGUUGAAAAAAAACAGCUGGAAGCUUUGAGAAGCAUGAUGGAAGCUGGAGAAUCUGCCUCCCCAGCAAACAUCUUAGAGGACGAUAAUGAAGAGGAGAUCGAAAGUGCUGACCAAGAGGAGGAAGCUCACCCCGAAUUCAAAUUUGGAAAUGAACUUUCUGCUGAUGACUUGGGUCACAAGGAAGCUGUUGCAAAUAGCGUCAAGAAGGGCCUGGUCACUGUAGAAGAUGAGCAGGCGUGGAUGGCAUCUUAUAAAUAUGUAGGUGCUACCACUAAUAUCCAUCCAUAUUUGUCCACAAUGAUCAACUACGCCCAGCCUGUAAAGUUUCAAGGUUUCCAUGUGGCAGAAGAACGCAAUAUUCAUUAUAACAUGUCGUCUUUUAAUGAAUCAGUCGGUCUUGGCUACUUGAAGACACAUGCAAUUGAAUUUGUCAAUUAUAACAAACGGCAAAUGAGUCGCAUUUACCCCAAGGGAGGCCGAGUCGAUUCCAGUAAUUACAUGCCUCAGAUUUUCUGGAACGCUGGCUGCCAGAUGGUUUCGCUGAACUAUCAAACCCCAGAUUUAGCGAUGCAAUUGAAUCAGGGAAAAUUUGAGUAUAAUGGAUCGUGCGGGUACCUUCUCAAACCAGAUUUCAUGAGGCGGCCUGAUCGAACAUUUGACCCCUUCUCUGAAACUCCUGUUGAUGGUGUUAUUGCAGCCACUUGCUCAGUGCAGGUUAUAUCAGGUCAAUUCUUAUCAGAUAAGAAAAUUGGCACCUACGUAGAGGUGGAUAUGUAUGGGUUGCCCACUGACACCAUACGUAAGGAAUUCCGAACUCGCAUGGUUAUGAAUAAUGGACUCAAUCCAGUUUACAAUGAAGAGUCAUUUGUAUUUCGGAAGGUGAUCCUGCCAGACCUGGCUGUCUUGAGAAUAGCUGUGUAUGAUGAUAACAACAAGCUGAUUGGCCAGAGGAUCCUCCCGCUUGAUGGCCUCCAAGCCGGAUAUCGACACAUUUCCCUUCGAAAUGAGGGAAAUAAACCAUUAUCACUACCAACAAUUUUCUGCAAUAUUGUUCUUAAAACAUAUGUGCCUGAUGGAUUUGGAGAUAUCGUGGAUGCUUUAUCAGAUCCAAAGAAAUUUCUCUCAAUUACAGAAAAGAGAGCAGACCAAAUGAGAGCUAUGGGCAUUGAAACUAGUGACAUAGCCGACGUGCCCAGUGACACUUCCAAAAAUGACAAGAAAGGAAAGGCCAACACCGCCAAAGCAAAUGUGACCCCUCAGAGUAGCUCUGAGCUCAGACCAACCACCACGGCUGCCCUGGCCUCUGGUGUGGAAGCCAAGAAAGGUAUUGAACUUAUCCCUCAAGUAAGGAUAGAAGACUUGAAGCAGAUGAAGGCUUACUUGAAGCAUUUAAAGAAACAGCAGAAGGAGCUAAAUUCUUUAAAGAAGAAACAUGCAAAGGAACACAGUACCAUGCAGAAGUUACACUGCACGCAAGUUGACAAAAUUGUGGCACAGUAUGACAAAGAGAAGUCGACUCAUGAGAAAAUCCUAGAGAAGGCAAUGAAGAAGAAGGGGGGAAGUAAUUGUCUCGAAAUGAAAAAAGAAACAGAAAUCAAAAUUCAGACGCUGACAUCAGAUCACAAAUCUAAGGUCAAAGAGAUUGUAGCACAGCACACAAAGGAAUGGUCAGAAAUGAUCAAUACCCACAGUGCUGAGGAGCAAGAAAUCCGAGACCUGCACCUCAGCCAGCAGUGUGAGCUGCUGAAAAAGCUACUCAUCAAUGCCCACGAGCAGCAAACCCAGCAGCUGAAACUGUCCCAUGACAGGGAAAGCAAGGAAAUGCGAGCACACCAGGCUAAGAUUUCUAUGGAAAAUAGCAAAGCCAUCAGCCAAGAUAAAUCUAUCAAGAAUAAAGCAGAACGGGAAAGGCGAGUCAGGGAGUUAAACAGCAGCAACACUAAAAAGUUUCUGGAAGAAAGAAAGAGACUUGCCAUGAAGCAGUCCAAAGAAAUGGAUCAGUUGAAAAAAGUCCAGCUUGAACAUCUAGAAUUCCUAGAGAAACAGAAUGAGCAGGCGAAGGAGAUGCAGCAGAUGGUGAAAUUGGAAGCCGAGAUGGACCGCAGACCAGCAACAGUAGUAUGAAACUCCAAAAUGCAAACUGAAGCAGCAAACCCACAAAGCAUCAAAAGACUCACUCACAAACUUCUGAACACAAACUCCAUGGAUGAAAGCUGUUUAUUUUGUUUCCUUUAUGUGUAAACAAGAUGAUAUCUGAAACCAGAGAGACUUGGAAUGUCUGACUGACUUCUAUUUAACAGCUUGAGUAUUGCAUUUCCUUGGCCAAACAAAAAUAGCUACAAAUCCACAAAAAUUUACUAUUCCAGUAAGGCAGAGUUCAACCAUUGAUAAUACAACUUAAACAUGUUUGCUAUAAAAUACCAUCACAAGUAAAUGAGCUUGGUGUGAACAACUCUCCUUUGUGAUGCCUUAGGACAUGUUUGAACUGCAGCAAAAAACAAAAACAAAAAACAGUGCAUUAGCAAUUUCAUAGCAAGUGCAUGCACUAGGAAAAGAAAACUCUGUCUACAAAUUUAUUAGCAGAAGUGGCGGUCUGCUAGACAAAUAAUUUUGCAAAAUUUUUCUACAUCUAAGUUACCUCAUCAGUAAGUGCCAUGUCUCUACCAUGCCAUCAGAGGCUAAUUUCCUGUAAAAGUUGUGGAAAUUGUUAGAACAAUAGAAAAAUAGAGCAGUGUAUGUGUGCCAAAACUCAUCAUUACUCAAAGGAGAACUGUGUUAGGCACAUUUAAGAAAGUUUACAUCUGACAUUGCUUUAUAGGAAUUGUUUCUGCAGAUUCCGGGUAUUAUAAUUCACACCAUAAAGAUUGUGAAGUGGUUAUUGGCAAACGUUUGUAAAUGUGACCAUGUAUAAAGUAUUUAUACUCUUUAAUUCACACUGUUAGAGAGCAAAAUCAUCUAAGUAUUGCCACAUGACAAGAUUAGUAAACAGGAAUACUAGAACUAUGUUUGCAUGAUACACAAGCACCAAUAAAGACUAAUCCAUACACAGUUAACCUAAUGCCAAAUAAAUACUGGUUAAAUAAAUGUAUGGCACAGAAUAUAAUUUGACUAUCAAGACUUUUAGCAUAAUGAAAAACCCCCUCUCUAUAUAUAUAUGUGUAUAUGAAUUAUGUGGGCAUUCUUGAUACUUCAAGUUCUAGUUUGAAAAAAAUACAUAACUAAUUUAAUUUUACACAAAAAUAUUUAUGCAGAUUUUCAGAAUUUCAUAUCAGGAAAUGACCUUUUUAUGUCUGUUAAAUAUCAAAACAAUUUGCUACAGUGUUAAUCUGCAUGGUCUUUAAGCCUGCUGUAGUUGAGUUGCAGACAGUGCAUGAAAAAGUAUUCCGCUGGGAAUUGAGCCAUGCCACCAAAGCCAAGAGGAGCGCAUGGAAACCCGGUAGUCUAGAACUAAUCAGAUUACUGAUUUUAGGGCACAGCACCAAAUGAAUUGUUGUAUAUGCUUGUAAAAAUUGAUUCUGUGUGUUCCUCUGAACAAAGCGGAGAAAAUGAUGAUACCAUCAAUAUUGAAAUUAAACUUCCAACUUCUCUAAUAAAAAAUUAAAACACGCAUAACACUCGUCAAGAGUAUUUGCUCCCAAGACACAUUCUAGCAAAUGUUUUGCCUUUUUCAUAUACCUGAUAUCAUCGUUAUUUUCAAAGGGGGCUUAUUAAUACCCUCAGCAUGUUUUUCACCCAAAUGAUGCAAAACAUGCAGAUUCUAGUUGACUUCAGAUGUAAUAGACUUGUUUUUCUCCUAUUUAUGAUUUGAAGUGGAUUCUGUAAAAUAUCUCUUAUUCUUAGUUUCCUUAUCUGUAAAACAGUGGAGUUAGACUACAUAUCUUUUGGCACUAACAAACAUCUCAUGAAAAAUUAUGGUUAAUAAAAUAUCACCACAUUUGGAUUGCCAAUUUUCAAAGAUUCUGAGUGGCUUCUCAUCAUCAAAUCAAAGCAAAUCAAAUCCAAGAGCUCAACUAUGCUCACCAUUCUGUAACACUUGACUGAAUUCAUCACUUGCCUCCUGUUGUUUCUGCUUUGGAGAGGUACUACUAGUUUUUCCAUUUUUCUUAUUUCUUCCCUGGCUUUUCAUCCUCCUAGGCCACCAUAAGCAUUUAUAUUUUCCAGUGUUAUAUAUGGAACCAGUUUUUUUUUCUUUGAUCCAGCUUACUUUUAGUAUUUGAGACAUCAUACCAUUAAUCCAUUGUAGUAGGAUUAAAAUGUACACACAACUCAAAUGUGCAACAAAAGCAUGUGUUGCCUGCUAUUGUAAGUUCAUAUUGCACUCAAACCUUGCCUUAUCCCUUAUUAUGAAGAAAAUUUAAUAGCCAAUUAAAGUAACUCAGUGUCUUCCA